UCGCCAUUUUUCAGAUCUCAAUCACCUGAUGACAAUGAACUACAAAGGAAAAUAACCCAAAACCGAGACUUGCUUUCUUGUGAUUCACAACACUGAAGGGAUCAGAGACUGAUAUUUAUAGUCCAAAAAUCGAAACUUCACCCACCAAAUACUACCAAAAAGAAAUAAUAAAUUACAAUAAAGGAAAAAGAAAAAGAGAGAGCCUUUAAAAUCACGUUAAUCCAAACAAAAAUCAUAAAAGCCUUCGAAUUUACGAAAGUAAUAAUAGAGUGUGUCCUUGAUG
rnacentral:misc_RNA from 1 species